CUCAGAUAGAAGGUCGUAACUGACUGACUAACUGGGUAUUGUUUCAGUCCUCAGAUAGAAGGUCGUAGCUGAUUGACUAACUGGGUAUUGUUUCAGUCCUCAGAUUAAAGGUCGUAGCUGAUUGACUAACUGGGUUUUGUUUCAGUCCUCAGAUUAAAGGUCGUAGCUGAUUGACUAACUGGGUAUUGUUUCAGUCCUCAGAUAGAAGGUCGUAGCUGACUGACUAACUGGGUAUUGUUUCAGUCCUCAGAUAGAAGGUCGUAGCUGAUUGACUAACUGGGUAUUGUUUCAGUCCUCAGAUAGAAGGUCGUAGCUGACUGACUAACUGGGUAUUGUUUCAGUCCUCAGAUAGAAGGUCGUAGCUGACUGACUAACUGGGUAUUGUUUCAGUCCUCAGAUAGAAGGUCGUAGCUGACUGACUAACUGGGUAUUGUUUCAGUCCUCAGAUAGAAGGUCGUAGCUGAUUGACUAACUGGGUAUUGUUUCAGUCCUCAGAUAGAAGGUCGUAGCUGAUUGACUAACUGGGUAUUG